AGUAUGAUAGGAGACUUGCAUAAAUUUCCAAAUUCCCUGGGUUUUUCUCACCUUCUGCCCUUUCCUGCAAAAGGAAAUCGAGAAACCACUCGUAAUUUACCAGAUAACCCCAGAAGCCUUGGUCGACAGACCAAAUUCUCCAGUCAAAGCUACGGGCUCCUGAGGAUAAACUGCUUCAAACAGCUUUUACCUUAAAGCCAACCUAGAAGUCUUUGACCCCCAGUUACAAGGUGUUUGGGACACCCUUAAUAUUUGUCUCUUCUUUUCUCAUCAAACCUGAUUCAUGAGAUGGACUAAAGCUGGAAAAAUCAUCUGCUUCUUUGUCUGUGAAUUUGAAACACGAUUGGCAUGGUCUUCAGUGCGUUCAACUAGACUGUAACUGCAGCUAUGAGCUCAGACGAGAAGGGCAUAUCCCCUGCUCAUAAAACAUCCACCCC
rnacentral:lncRNA from 1 species